rnacentral:lncRNA from 10 species
AGCAUGAUAAAUGUUUAAUUCUUUUCCUCAUUAUUUUAAAAAUGAAUUGGUUCCUUAGCAUCCUCCCAGACUGACCACAGAGCUAUUUUUGAUUCCACGUACCGCCAUGAACUUGAAGCAGCUUUUUAGGUACACUGCUCAGCCCUCUACCUCCAGCCUUGAGUCCUGGGCAUUCUGCCUCAGGAUAGUGAAUGGGGGAUGGUUGGCGGAGGUGGGGAGGUGAGGCAGAAGCAGAGAGGGAUUUGAAAGGGAUGGCAAAGUUGGGGGUUCUUAUGGGCUUCCAUUUUCUUCAUCCAGAAAAAGCUCUGGUCUCCAAAGCAUUAAUUCCUGUAUAGCUGUUGCCUUGGCUUUUAUAGAUUUUCAUGUUGCCUUAUAAAUAGUUGAGUCCAUCUUUAAAAGUCUCUUCAAGCAACCAGGAAAGAAAGAACAGCCUGAAGAUCUGGAAAGGGCAUGUUUAACCCUAAAUCCUUAAAAGUAGCUAAUCUAGGAGAGAAGGUUACCUUUGAAAUGCUGGGGAGAGGGGUAGAUCACCUCUUCUCCACCUUGGCUAUUAGUUACCUGAAACAUCUUUGAAAAGCCACAUGUCCCUGUAUUACCUCCACAGAUUCUGAUUCAGUUGCUCUGGCUGGAACCCGGAAAUUGGCAGUUGCUAUCCGCUUUUAGAGCAAGGUGAGUGUAACAUGAAGCCAGGGCCAUUUCCAAGUCCCCAGAAUGAUAGCAGGCCAACAUGGAUUGUGUCACACCUACAGCUUUAUCACCUUGAUCUGCCCAUCUGAUGUUAGUAUUUGGCAUCUCCACCCUGCAACUCAGAAGACUAAGCUAGGAAAAAUGAUGCCUAACAGUUUUCAUCCCUGCUUGAAACACUGGGGCCUUGAUGAGUGUGGCUCAGUUCCAACUCCUGGGUCUUUAACAUAACACACAGCAGCGUGUCCCAACCCUCGACUCCAAGAAUGGAUACAUUUAUUUUCUGCCUUGCACUGUUCUAAGUGCUUUACAUAUCUCAACAUCCCUAAUAGGUUGGUAUCAUCUCCACUUAACAGAUGAGCUGCUGGGAUCUGAGAGAGUUAAGUGACUUGUUAAGGGCACAAAC